rnacentral:rRNA from 1 species
UACAGAGGUCUCAAGCGUUGUUCGGAUUCAUUGGGCGUAAAGGGUGCGUAGGCGGCGCGGUAAGUCGGGUGUGAAAUUUCGGAGCUUAACUCCGAAACUGCAUUCGAUACUGCCGUGCUUGAGGACUGGAGAGGAGACUGGAAUUUACGGUGUAGCAGUGAAAUGCGUAGAGAUCGUAAGGAAGACCAGUGGCGAAGGCGGCAUCCUGGACCGACAUUGACGCUGAACGGCGAAAGCUAGGGGAGCAAACGGG